CUGGUUAGAGAAAAGUCCUGGAAGCCUGAGUGAGCCCACGGUUUACAGCAUAGCUGAGCAACUGACUCACUCUGAAACCCAGGGUUGCAUCGUUUAACCUCACGGGGCUUGUUGUCCAUCCAGCUGGAAAAUGUGGAAAGAUGUGAGGCUGAACUGAAAAUCAUUUGUGGCCCUGCUGAUUUGCUGGACCACAGGGUACAGUUUGAGACUGCUGGGCUGACUGAGUUCCAGCCCCGUGGGCCAUGACUGGGAAAGGCACACCUUGCAAGAAGCAACGAGAGUUCAUGCUGGUGAGAGUCUCCUCUACAGGAGAGAAAAACCUCUCUGCAGAAUCAGCGGCUGAGGAUUUCUAGUCUCUGUCCCUGGCUGGUCUCUGUCAAUAAUCAGAUUUCCCUAAAUGGACCUUUAGUGGGUCUUAGUAGUAUCUAGAUCCCCAGCUUGCCAGCACAUGCUGACUGUGCUCGGCAGGAUAGGAAGACUGAAGCACACUGACCUGCGGCAACUGAAGACCAGCCGAGAGAGGAACUCCCCUAAGUACCUGGUUUCAAGUGGCUGUGGGUGUUUCCACUUUCUUCCUGCCACCGCUGUGUGCACAAGCUCCAGCUAGCCUGUUGUAUGAUGAGAAGUGCUUCAUCUGGACACCCAGCUGACAGCCUGCAAACUGCCAGCAUGCAAGUGAGGCCAUCCAAGACCAAGACUGCCACCCGACUGACUCAUGAGCAAGCCCAGUCGAGAUCAGACAGGCCUGGGCCACUUCAGCAGAACUUUCCAGCUGAUCUGUUGACUCGUGAGCGGUCAUAAAAGUUUACUAUCUUAAGUCAUUGGGUGUUAAGGUGGUUUGUCAUGAAGCAAUAGCCAACUGUUA